UGCAGUCAGGAUACUAUGGUGGAAAUACCUAUACCCAUUCCGAACAUAGCCGUCAAGCACCAUAGGCUCAAUUUGGCCUCAAGAAGAGAGCUUCCUUGAGUUGACUGCAC
rfam:Mycoplasma suis str. Illinois, complete genome.